UACAGAGGUCCCAAGCGUUGUUCGGAAUUACUGGGCGUAAAGCGAGUGUAGGCGGUCUCGUAAGUCGGGUGUGAAAGCCCUGGGCUCAACCCAGGAAGUGCAUUCAAAACUGUCUCGCUUGAAUCUCGGAGGGGGUCAGAGAAUUCCCGGUGUAGAGGUGAAAUUCGUAGAUAUCGGGAGGAAUACCAGUGGCGAAGGCGCUGACCUGGACGAAGAUUGACGCUGAGGAGCGAAAGCGUGGGGAGCAAACAGG
rnacentral:rRNA from 1 species